CUGGAUUACAAAAAUUACAAGAAAAACACAUCUGCAGUGGAAAUUCAGUUCCAGUUAUCAGUUAAAGAUGACAGUGGAGUUCAACACAAGUAUGAUUUGUAUGCAGUAGUGAAACAUACAGGAUCCUUUCAUAGUGGACAUUACUAUGCAGUCAUCAAGUCGUUUGAGGAUCAUGAGUGGUAUGAGUUAAAUGACAGCUUUGUGCACAAGGCAACCAUUUUAAAAGACCCCUUCCAGUGUAAGGAGGCCUUCCUUCUUCUGUACAAAAAACAUUCAAAUGAAUCAGCUGUGAAUUCCCAACAAAUGUGAUGAUCUAGAUGGUCCUCAAUGCCAACCGAAUCGUUCUGAAUCUAUAAAACAAAAUGUGUCAAAAGUUGACAGCGGCAGUCGAUCAAGAAAUGAGAUUCAAACAUGGACCUCUAAAUCUGAUCCUGAUCCUCAACCUGCAGAAAAUGUUCCUCAUGAUCCAGCUAAUUGAUCAAAAAACACGACGUAUGAUCCUGACUCAACAGCAAACACCCAACCAACACCAUUUAAUGAAUCUAGACAUGUAACACAACCUGUGACAGAGGAGAAUAUAAAGAAAAAAAUCAAUGACCAUCAAUUCACUUUUAUUUGUAUAGCAUUUUUCAUGAUGCACAUAUUGGCAAAAUAGCUUCACAGAAAAUUAAAGUUUCUACAAUAUAU